rnacentral:rRNA from 1 species
GCCUACGGGUAGCAGCAGUGGGGAAUAUUGGGCAAUGGGCGCAAGCCUGACCCAGCAACGCCGCGUGAAGGAAGAAGGCUUUCGGGUUGUAAACUUCUUUUGACAGGGAAGAGCAGAAGACGGUACCUGUCGAAUAAGCCACGGCUAACUACGUGCCAGCAGCCGCGGUAAUACGUAGGUGGCAAGCGUUGUCCGGAUUUACUGGGUGUAAAGGGCGUGUAGCCGGGCUGACAAGUCAGAUGUGAAAUCCGGGGGCUCAACCCCCGAACUGCAUUUGAAACUGUUGGUCUUGAGUAUCGGAGAGGCAGGCGGAAUUCCUAGUGUAGCGGUGAAAUGCGUAGAUAUCACACAGAACACCGAUUGCGAAGGCAUCUCACGAAUCCGCGAUUGACGCUGAUGCACGAAAGCGUGGGUAUCAAACAGGAUUAGAUACCCGUGUAGUC